rnacentral:rRNA from 1 species
UAGGGAAUCUUCCACAAUGGACGCAAGUCUGAUGGAGCAACGCCGCGUGAGUGAAGAAGGUUUUCGGACCGUAAAGCUCUGUUGUUGGUGAAGAAGGAUAGAGGUAGUAACUGGCCUUUAUUUGACGGUAAUCAACCAGAAAGUCACGGCUAACUACGUGCCAGCAGCCGCGGUAAUACGUAGGUGGCAAGCGUUGUCCGGAUUUAUUGGGCGUAAAGCGAGCGCAGGCGGAAGAAUAAGUCUGAUGUGAAAGCCCUCGGCUUAACCGAGGAAUUGCAUCGGAAACUGUUUUCUGAGUGCAGAAGAGGAGAGUAGAACUCCAUGUGUAGCGGUGGAAUGCGUAGAUAUAUGGAAGAAUACCAGUGGCGAAGGCGGCUCUCUGGUCUGCAACUGACGCUGAGGCUCGAAAGCAUGGGUAGCGAACAGGAUUAGAUACCCUGGUAGUCCAUGCCGUAAACGAUGAGUGCUAAGUGUUGGGAGGCUUCCGCCUCUCAGUGCUGCAGCUAACGCAUUUAAGCACUCCGCCUGGGGGAGUACGACC